GCCAAAGCUAUUCUAGAUGCCUUUGACAACGCAAGCGGCCUAAGGACAAACUUUCUCAAGAGCAGCUUCUGCCACAUUCGUUGUGAUGACAUCAAUCUCCUGGAGCUUGCUGCACUCUUGCACUGCCCGAUCAAGGAAUUUCCCGUCACGUACUUGGGUAUGCCUCUUAGCUAUUCUCGCCUGCAAAGAGUGCAUUACCAGCCGGUUUUUGAUAAACUCCACCGCAACACUUCCGGGUGGAACAAGCUCAACUUGCCCACGGCUGGGAGGCUGGCUCUUGUCACCUCGGUGCUUUAUGCACUUCCAUUAUUUCAGAUCAUGGCCAUUGACCCGCCUAGUUGGGCUGUCAAGAAAUUUGAUAAGUGUUGUCGUGGUUUCUUGUGGGCGAACAAGGAUAUUGCAACUGGAGGAAAAUGCUUGGUGAAUUGGAAGCAGGUCUGUCUCCCAAAAAAACUUGGUGGCUUUGGUAUCCCAUGUUUGAAUCAAAAAAAGUGU
rnacentral:rRNA from 1 species